CCCUUAGAUGUCCUGGGCUGCACGCGCGCUACACUGAUGUGUCCAGUAAGCACCUAACCUCUUCCGAAAGGAACGGGUAACCUUUGCAAAGCACAUCGUGAUGGGGAUAGAUUAUUGCAAUUAUUAGUCUUGAACGAGGAAUUCCUAGUAAGCACAAGUCAUCAGCUUGUGUUGAUUACGUCCCUGCCCUUUGUACACACCGCCCGUCGCUCCUACCGAUUGAAUGGUCCGGUGAAAUCUUGGGAUUUUGUUUUGUUUGCAUUUAUUUGUAUCGAGACGAGAGAACUUGAGUAAACCUUACCAUUUAGAGGAAGGUGAAGUCGUAACA
rnacentral:rRNA from 1 species